UAUAAGACUGGGAUAACUUCGGGAAACCGGAGCUAAUACCGGAUAAUAUUUUGAACCGCAUGGUUCAAAAGUGAAAGACGGUCUUGCUGUCACUUAUAGAUGGAUCCGCGCUGCAUUAGCUAGUUGGUAAGGUAACGGCUUACCAAGGCAACGAUGCAUAGCCGACCUGAGAGGGUGAUCGGCCACACUGGAACUGAGACACGGUCCAG
rnacentral:rRNA from 1 species